CUGGGCAACAAGUCCAGGGGGCCCCGCUCUGAGAAAAUGCCCUUGGUGUGGGGGCAUGUUGGAGGGUCAUCCUGUUGGUGUUGUGUUUUGCAGUACAUUGCUGGAAAGAAACCAACUCCUCGCACAUAAAGUCAUGUACCUGUUAGUGCCUUUUCUAAACCGAGGGAAUGAUAAGCAUAAACUCACAUCUGCAGGCUUUUUUGUGGAGGUAAGUCUCAUUCCCUGGUGCUGAGUUCAGGAAGCUAUAAAGCAGCAAUGCCUGCCUUCCUAGGCUACACCCAAAUUUUUCAGAUUCAAGCCUAUUGAAAUGGGUCCCUGCACUUUAAUUAUUGGGUAAACCUUAUAUAUCUGCAACAUAAGCAUCACCCUAUAGUGUGUGUGCUGUAUCGUAGAGAUUUCAAAGUAAAACAUAUAUUUUGGAGUUGGUGGGAAGGUAGCUUAUUUUAUAAAAAAGGCUUCAAGGUCAUUUAUUUGGCUGAUUUUGGGGUUCUUUCAGCUUCUCCAGAGUCCUGUGGCCAGGAGACUGCCUAGUAAAUAUUCUACAGCCCGCUUGAAGGACUGGCUGAAUCAUGAAAAUGAGGCCUUUAGAAUUCUUGCCUUGAGGGGACUGUACAAUCUCAUCAGACACCAGGAGAUGGUAGGAAGACCCCAGAUCGCUGAUUAUUAAGUCAUAAAUAGAAUACCCCCAAAGAGAUACCCAAAGAACUGAAAACAACUUAAGAAGAAACUUGGGAAGCCUUGGGACAGGAGCAGGUGGAGAAGAUCCUUCCCCUAGCACAACCUUUUUUACAUUUGAAUUUUAUACCUAGGAAAUAGUCUAGUACUUACUAUUAGAAAAGCAGCUAAAUAUCUUAAAGGCCAAGUCACAUAUAUUGAUAAUAUGUGAAACCUGCAGUUUGUGUGGAGUUAUACUCAUUAUUAUCACACCAUAGACAAUAUUCACAUGGCCCUUAUGCCUUGUACCAUGUUGCGCAGUGAAAUAACUUGGGAUAGGCCUUUGAUCUACUGCCAAGAUGCCUGUCAUCUAAGACAGAUCACUGACAUUCCUGUUGGAAGAGAUCUCAUUUUCCAUAGGCCUCACUAGAAAACUAGGCCUCGCUCAGAAGAGUUGACUAACUCAGGAGGCUUUAAUUUUGUC
rnacentral:lncRNA from 1 species